UCGUGAGACAGGUUAGUUCUAUCCUACUGAUGAUGUGUUGUUGCUGGGAUUAGACCGUCGUGAGACAGGUUAGUUCUAUCCUACUGAUGAUGUGUUGUUGCUGGGUUUAGACCGUCGUGAGACAGGUUAGUUCUAUCCUACUGAUGAUGUGUUGUUGCUGGGUUUAGACCGUCGUGAGACAGGUUAGUUCUAUCCUACUGAUGAUGUGUUGUUGCUGGGAUUAGACCGUCGUGAGACAGGUUAGUUCUAUCCUACUGAUGAUGUGUUGUUGCUGGGUUUAGACCGUCGUGAGACAGGUUAGUUCUAUCCUACUGAUGAUGUGUUGUUGCUGGGUUUAGACCGUCGUGAGACAGGUUAGUUCUAUCCUACUGAUGAUGUGUUGUUGCUGGGUUUAGACCGUCGUGAGACAGGUUAGUUCUAUCCUACUGAUGAUGUGUUGUUGCUGGGAUUAGACCGUCGUGAGACAGGUUAGUUCUAUCCUACUGAUGAUGUGUUGUUGCUGGGUUUAGACCGUCGUGAGACAGGUUAGUUCUAUCCUACUGAUGAUGUGUUGUUGCUGGGUUUAGACCGUCGUGAGACAGGUUAGUUCUAUCCUACUGAUGAUGUGUUGUUGCUGGGUUUAGACCGUCGUGAGACAGGUUAGUUCUAUCCUACUGAUGAUGUGUUGUUGCUGGGUUUAGACCGUCGUGAGACAGGUUAGUUCUAUCCUACUGAUGAUGUGUUGUUGCUGGGAUUAGACCGUCGUGAGACAGGUUAGUUCUAUCCUACUGAUGAUGUGUUGUUGCUGGGAUUAGACAGUCGUGAGACAGGUUAGUUCUAUCCUACUGAUGAUGUGUUGUUGCUGGGUUUAGACCGUCGUGAGACAGGUUAGUUCUAUCCUACUGAUGAUGUGUUGUUGCUGGGUUUAGACCGUCGUGAGACAGGUUAGUUCUAUCCUACUGAUGAUGUGUUGUUGCUGGGAUUAGACCGUCGUGAGACAGGUUAGUUCUAUCCUACUGAUGAUGUGUUGUUGCUGGGUUUAGACCGUCGUGAGACAGGUUAGUUCUAUCCUACUGAUGACGUGUU